AUUGAACGCUGGCGGCAUGCUUUACACAUGCAAGUCGAGGGGUAGAGGCUUUCGGGCCUUGAGACCGGCGCACGGGUGCGUAACGCGUAUGCAAUCUGCCUUGUACUGGGGGAUAGCCCAGAGAAAUUUGGAUUAAUACCCCAUAGUAUUUUCGGUUGGCAUCAACUGAUUAUUAAAGUUUUUCGGUACAAGAUGAGCAUGCGUCCCAUUAGCUAGUUGGUAUGGUAACGGCAUACCAAGGCUACGAUGGGUAGGGGUCCUGAGAGGGAGAUCCCCCACACUGGUACUGAGACACGGACCAGACUCCUACGGGAGGCAGCAGUGAGGAAUAUUGGUCAAUGGUCGCAAGACUGAACCAGCCAUGCCGCGUGCAGGAUGAAGCAUCUAUGGUGUGUAAACUGCUUUUGUACGGGAAGAAACACUGCUACGUGUAGCAGCUUGACGGUACCGUAAGAAUAAGGAUCGGCUAACUCCGUGCCAGCAGCCGCCGUAACAC
rnacentral:rRNA from 1 species